CUCUCUUAGAACAUGUUAGCCUCUUCUCACAAUAUUACUUUUAUCUUCAUUUCUUAACUACAAUCUGCUUUUUAUCCUGAGGACAAUUACCUCUGAGUAGUCCUCCCAAGAGGAGGGUGCUCAUUCAUUCACCUCCCUCUGUCACCUUAUCACCCGUGUUAUUGAAGACGAUCUCACUGCCUACUCUGCAGAGUUAAGAAUCAAGAGAACAGAUGAAGAGUACUGGAUGAAAAAGUGUUACUGCAUUUGAAAUCCACCAAGCUGAAUGUCACUGGGAACUGAAGUAUUACAGAUCUGAC
rnacentral:lncRNA from 1 species